GUUUAUCGGGUUUUGUUUAUCGUUUUACUCUUUGGAGAGUGUAGUUUAGCAACGUGGGUGGUGGUGGUUCUAUUUUUAGUUCAUUCAUCAACCACUUGUAGGUUUAUAAAUGGACACUAAACUGUCUCAAUCAUUGAAUUAAGUACUGUAAUUAAUUUAUAAAUAAACCUUCAGUGACACAGUUAUUAUUAGCCUUUGUGCUAGGCAAAAUUAAUUAAUAACUAAAAAUGUUUGUGUGCCAAUAAUUUGUUGGGUACACUUGAACAAACUACACAAGUACAUAAUGUAAAUCUUGAAAUUCAACAAUAGAAUUACCGAUUUGUUUUCAAUUAUCUGUGGGUUUGAACUCACAGCUUGUGUUGGUCCAUUUCCAACAGAUGAAAGGAAGGUAUUAUAGGCGAAGGAGGUAAUUUACCCUUUUCAGGUCAGUUAACAACUUUUGACUAGUAAUAUUUUAAAUACAUAUCAAAUGAAGGUUAAGUAACAUUAAUAUUUUCCUAAUAUAACAGUUUUCCGGCUAAAACUCGAAUAAAAGGAAUGUAGGAAGAGCCCCUUACAGUUAUUCUCUAAAACUCACUUUCAAUGAGCACAGGUAUAGUAAAUUUUAUGAAAAGGGAUAGUUUUAAAAUUACAGUUAUCUAAUAGUCUUCCGCAUCCGUUAAACCUACAUAACAGGACCGUAAAUUUUUAUAUUUAUAUAUAUAUUUUAUUAGAUAUGGCUACAAAGUUCGUUAGUACAUAUAUUAACAAAUUCUUGGCACAAAAUUCAAAUAUUUAACCUAAUGAUUAGUUUUAUGUAA